rnacentral:rRNA from 1 species
CCCCGGGGCAGAGCCGCGAACGGGUGAGUAACACGUGGGUUACCUACCCCAAUGACCGGGACAACCCGAGGAAACUCGGGCUAAUACCGGAUGUGGUCUUCGGACGAAAGGAAGCUUCGGCCUCCGCAUUGGGAUGGGCCCGCGGCGCAUUAGCUUGUUGGUGGGGUAACGGCCUACCAAGGCGACGAUGCGUAGCUGGUCUGAGAGGACGAUCAGCCACACUGGGACUGAGACACGGCCCAG